rnacentral:rRNA from 1 species
AAUGGGCGCAAGCCUGAUCCAGCCAUGCCGCGUGAGUGAUGAAGGCCCUAGGGUUGUAAAGCUCUUUCAGCGAGGAGGAUAAUGACGUUACUCGCAGAAGAAGCCCCGGCUAACUUCGUGCCAGCAGCCGCGGUAAUACGAAGGGGGCUAGCGUUGUUCGGAAUCACUGGGCGUAAAGCGCACGUAGGCGGACUGAUCAGUCAGGGGUGAAAUCCCGGGGCUCAACCCCGGAACUGCCUUUGAUACUGUCAGUCUUGAGUCCGAGAGAGGUGAGUGGAUCUCCGAGUGUAGAGGUGAAAUUCGUAGAUAUUCGGAAGAACACCAGUGGCGAAGGCGGCUCACUGGCUCGGUACUGACGCUGAGGUGCGAAAGCGUGGGGAGCAAACAGGAUUAGAUCCCCUGGUAGUCCACCCCGUAAACGAUGGAAGCUAGCCGUCAGGUAGCAUGCUAUUUGGUGGCGCAGCUAACGCAUUAAGCUCCCG